GUGAGCGUGCGGGCGAUACGGGCAGACUUGAGUACUGCAGGGGAGACUGGAAUUCCUGGUGUAGCGGUGUGAAUGCGCAGAUAUCAGGAGGAACACCGGUGGUCGAACGCGGGUCUCUGGGCACGUACACUGACGCUGCAGGAGCGAACGCGUGGGGAGCGAACAGGAUUAGAUACCCUGGUAGUCCACGCCGUAACCGGUGGGUACUAGGUGUGGGUUUCCUUCCUUGGGAUCCGCUGCCGUAGCUAACGCAUUAAGUACCCCGCCUGGGGAGUACGGCCGAAAGGCUAAAACUCAAAGAAAUUGACGGGGGCCCGCACAAGCGGCGGAGCAUGUGGAUUAAUUCGAUGCAACGCGAAGAACCUUACCUGGGUUUGACAUGCACAGGACGCCGGCAGAGAUGUCGGUUCCCUUGUGGCCUGUGUGCAGGUGGUGCAUGGCUGUCGUCAGCUCGUGUCGUGAGAUGUUGGGUUAAGUCCCGCAACGAGCGCAACCCUUGUCUCAUGUUGCCAGCGGGUAAUGCCGGGGACUCGUGAGAGACUGCCGGGGUCAACCUCGGAGGAAGGUGGGGAUGACGUCAAGUCAUCAUGCCCCUUAUGUCCAGGGCUUCACACAUGCUACAAUGGCCGGUACAAAGGGCUGCGAUGCCGCGAGGUUAAGCGAAUCCUUUUAAAGCCGGUCUCAGUUCGGAUCG
rnacentral:rRNA from 1 species